rnacentral:rRNA from 1 species
GUUCGAUUAUAUGGCUCCAGAUUGAACGCUGGCGGGAUGCUUUACACAUGCAAGUCGAACGCGGCAGCACGGACUUCGGUCCUGGUGGCGGUGAACGGGUGAGUAAUGUAUCGGAACGACACCUGUGGCGAAGUAACUUCACCGCGAAAGCGUGCAACUAAUACACCUUGCGCCACUGGAAAGCGGGGACCUUCCGGGCCUCACUAUUGAGCGACAGUAUAUCGGAUUAGCUGGUUGGUGGGAGUAACGGCUCACCAGGCGACGAUCCGUAGCUGGUUUGAGAGGACGAUAGCCACACAGGACGUGAGACACGGCCCGAACUCUACGGGGAGGCAGCAGUGAAGAAUUUUGGACAAUGAGGAAACCUGAUCCAACCCAUCGUGUGCGAUGUGAGGCCUUCGGGUUGUAAAGCGCACAGCGGAAAGAAGCGGCACAGGAUAAUACGUGCAACUGAUGACACCUGCAGAAUAAGCACCAGCUACUUCACGACACUGGCCAGCGCGAUGUGCAGCCAGGGUGCAGCGUUAAUCGGAAUUACUGGGCCGUAAAGCGUGCGCAGGCGGUUCAGAAGAAAGAUGUGAAAUCCCAGAGCUUAACUUUGAACUGCAUUUUAACUACCAGCAGCUGAAAUUACAACAGAGGAGGUGGAAUUUACGUGUAGCAGUGAAGCCCGGCUAGAUAUGCGGAGGAACACCGAUGGCGAAGACAGCCUCCUGAGAUAACUUUGGCGCUCAUAAGCAGUGAGAACAAUGGAUUGACCCUGGUAGUCCACGCGCCUAAACGAUGUCAACUAGCUGUUGGGGCCUUCGGGCAGCAGUAACAGCUAACGCGCGGCUAGAAGUUACCUGCAAGUACAGUCGCAAGAUUAAAACUCCAAGGAAUUGACGAGGACCCGCACAGCGGUGAUGAUGUGAUUCAAUUCCGAUCACAACGCGAAAAGCCUUACCUACCCUUGACAUGUCUAGGAGAUCCGAAGAUUUAAAGGUGCUCUGAAGGAGAACGGAACCACAAGUGCUGCCUGGCUGUCGUCAGCUCGUGUCGUAGAUGUUAGGUUGAUCGCCCGCAACAGCGCAACCCUUGUCGUCAGAUUGCUACGAAAGGGCAUCUAAUACAAGGGCUGCAGUGACAAACCCGGAGGAAGGUGAGAUGACAUUCAAAGUCACUCAUAGCCCUUGUGAUAGGGCUUCCCCGCAUCACUACAAUGGUGGGACAGAGGUGCUAUUCCGCUGAGGAGCCAAUCAACCCGAUCGUAGUCCGGAUCGCAUUCUGCAGCUGUUGCGUGAAGUCGGAAUACUUCGUGUCCAACGGAUAGCGUAAUGUGAUGAAUACGUUCCCAGGUCUUGUACACACCGCCCAUCACACCAUGGGAGUGGGUUUUUGCAGAAGUAGUCGCCUAAUAUAAGGAGGGCGAUUUUAAAACGGAUUCAUGACUGAAGGUGAAGUCAUAACAAAACCAACUCUGUUACUACAAUUACUCCAGGAGCAUGCAUG